AGCGAACGCUGGCGGCAGGCCUAACACAUGCAAGUCGAACGAACUCUUCGGAGUUAGUGGCGGACGGGUGAGUAACACGUGGGAACGUGCCUUUUGGUUCGGAAUAACUCAGGGAAACUUGUGCUAAUACCGAAUGUGCCCUUCGGGGGAAAGAUUUAUCGCCAUUAGAGCGGCCCGCGUCUGAUUAGCUAGUUGGUGAGGUAACGGCUCACCAAGGCGACGAUCAGUAGCUGGUCUGAGAGGAUGACCAGCCACACUGGGACUGAGACACGGCCCAGACUCCUGCAGGAGGCAGCAGUGGGGAAUCUUGCGAAAUGGGCGAAAGCCUGACGCAGCCAUGCCGCGUGAAUGAUGAAGGUCUUAGGAUUGUAAAAUUCUUUCACCGGGGACGAUAAUGACGGUACCCAGAGAAGAAGCCCCGGCUAACUUCGUG
rnacentral:rRNA from 1 species